AGUGAACGCUGGCGGUAGGCCUAACACAUGCAAGUCGAACGGCAGCACAGUAAGAGCUUGCUCUUACGGGUGGCGAGUGGCGGACGGGUGAGGAAUACAUCGGAAUCUACUUUUUCGUGGGGGAUAACGUAGGGAAACUUACGCUAAUACCGCAUACGACCUACGGGUGAAAGCAGGGGAUCUUCGGACCUUGCGCGAUUGAAUGAGCCGAUGUCGGAUUAGCUAGUUGGCGGGGUAAAGGCCCACCAAGGCGACGAUCCGUAGCUGGUCUGAGAGGAUGAUCAGCCACACUGGAGCUGAGACACGGUCCAGACUCCUACGGGAGGCAGCAGUGGGGAAUAUUGGACAAUGGGCGCAAGCCUGAUCCAGCCAUGCCGCGUGGGUGAAGAAGGCCUUCGGGUUGUAAAGCCCUUUUGUUGGGAAAGAAAAGCAGCAGGUUAAUACCCCGCUGUUCUGACGGUACCCAAAGAAUAAGCACCGGCUAACUUCGG
rnacentral:rRNA from 1 species